ensembl:misc_RNA 7SK 7SK RNA
GGACCUGAGGGCAGUCUGGCUGCAACAUCUGUCACCCCACUGAUGACCAAGUUAAUUGAGCUGACCUGGCUGGCUCGGUGGGUGUCCCCUUUCCUCCCUCAGUGCUCCAUGUACAUCUCUACCAAAGCUGCAUGCUGGUUGAAAAGGGUGAUCUCCCUCAUGGACAUGGUGCUGUUCAUCAGUCAAGGGUAUACAGUAGCCCUGCACCCUGCUAGAACCAAACUCGAGCUUUGUGGCUAUUUAUGCUGUAACUGCAGUUUCUCUAACAAUUUUGCAGUGACCUGCCAGAGAUCUAAAGAAAAUAUUUUCUG